rnacentral:rRNA from 1 species
AUUCCUACGGGAGGCAGCAGUGGGGAAUAUUGCACAAUGGGCGCAAGCCUGAUGCAGCCAUGCCGCGUGUAUGAAGAAGGCCUUCGGGUUGUAAAGUACUUUCAGCGGGGAGGAAGGCGAUAAGGUUAAUAACCUUGUCGAUUGACGUUACCCGCAGAAGAAGCACCGGCUAACUCCGUGCCAGCAGCCGCGGUAAUAAU